GCACAGGAUAGACCAUGGACGUAUGAAUAUAAUAUAUUCUUUCCUGCAUGGUAUAGACCACAGUAGAGAUAACAAUCAGUAGAGACAGCUCGCCGUUUUUCGUGACCCGUUUUCGUGGGUGGUCGUUCGCAUUAUGACCGAAUGAGGGCGCCCAACUGACGUCUAAAAUAUUUGAAAUUGACCAGUAAAGUAAGGUUAGAAUUUAGAAUGCGCGGCAGUUCAUAAUUCAAAAAUUCUACUAUGGGUUUCUUAUGGGAGCUUGAUUUUACAGACAAAAUACGCCGCAUAGGUAGAAAUCUUAACUAGUUCAUGCUACAAGCGAUAAAGACUGUACAAUUAUCUUCCUGUUACUAAAGGUUUAACUAUAUAAAAAGCUUCUGUUAAAGAUAUAUUGCAAAUUAAAAACAACGCUAUCCAUCGAAGUAACGUACAUCGUUUCUAACGUCUUGCGCAUGAGUGAAACGGAAAAUCCAGAAACACUUGGGAAAGAAAAAGAACGCGAAUAUUUUGCGGUACUAGUGACGUUUAGAUCGUGAAAAUCCCCAAAAUAUGACAGUUGAUUUCGUAUUUUCAUCACAACAAACAAUCAUAAUCACAGUUUUUGGAUGAUAUAUUAGUUCUGUGAUAUUGAUUCACAUUGGGUUGUAUGUAUCUGUGGACUGUUUUUUUUGUAUUUGUUAUUAAUAAUGACAGAAAGACAUGUGUUAACAAUAGGGGCAAUUGCCAUUUUUUUUGUUGGAGAAAAUUCUUUACAGUCAAAUAGUGUAGCGAAAGUCAAUUGGUAUACUGAAUUAAAUGUGCUUGAAGAGUUUAUUCGAGCUAGAAUGCGAAAAGAUUAUGAUAUUCCUUAAGAGAGGCAACAUGUGAAACCCCAAGAGGUGCAUUUGUAUAUCAUCAUAUGGCUACACCUGCCCUACACGGACGUUAUAAUGUAUUGUGGACCAAUAAUUUGCGUGCUUGAGACGUACAUCUGAAGAAAAGUGAAUCAGCUGAGGUGCGAGCUGUUGUCUCUGAAAAUUCUUUUAAUCCCCAAGUCAGCCUAAAAACAGCUAAUGUUGAGGUACAACUUCAUGAAAGCUUAGGACAAACUGAUAGGAGCGAAGCACUGCUUUUGCUAUUGGGCCCUGAACUAGAAAGAUCUGAAGAAAAUCUACUUCACAGUAUCGAAGAACUAUUAGUGUCCGAGGACUAUUUUAAUGGCCCAUCAAGAAAACAGUUUGUGGGUCAGUUUUUCACCAAAAGUGAAUCAGAUUUUGCAUUAGGAAGUGCAAUUUUUUAUUGUAAAAUACUUUUUUUUUGUUUUGAAAUAAAUUGUUCUUUAAAUUGUGA